rnacentral:rRNA from 1 species
GACAGAGGGUGCAAACGUUGUUCGGAAUCACUGGGCUUAAAGCGUGUGUAGGCGGAUGCCUAAGUACCUUGUGAAAUCCCACGGCUCACCCGUGGAACCGCUGGGUAUACUGGGCGUCUUGGGCCAUUCAGGGGCAACUGGAACAAGCGGUGGAGCGGUGAAAUGCGUAGAUAUCGCUUGGAACGCCGACGGUGAAAACAGGUUGCUGGGAAUGUGCCGACGCUGAGACACGAAAGCCAGGGGAGCAAACGGG